ensembl:lncRNA
AGCGGUCUCGAAAAAAGGCAGCCCAGGUUCCCAGCGUGCGGCCAGGCUCCACGAAGAGCAGAGCAGACCUUCUCGUGAAACUGCAUCAGUUUUUCUAGAAGUUGCCUGAAGAACUGCUCUCUUAGAGCGAAACUGGAACUCUCUUGAGAAGAAAAGUUUCUAUGUAGCGGGCGUCCUCGAAACAUUGAAAGACAAGUGAAAAACCUCUCUGCGACCUGGGACAAAGAUUCCCGGCAAAGAAAACAGGAAACAUGAAUAACUGAGAGGAAAAAGCUGAAGAUAGUGUUUCUUUCGGUGAAGCAGGUUAUGAGAAAUCGCCCGCACACAGGGUUUAAAAGCCACGCACAGGCCCAGGACUAGGCGCAUGCUCAGACAAGACCUGGGGGAGAACUCGGGAGCUUUCAUCCGGCCGGAUCUUCCCGCUCAAGGCGGAAAACUUCGUGCUGCUGACUGGAGCGUGAAUCACAACAGAGAAAGUCAGACUUCUCUGCAGUGGAUGCUUGAUGCAUUUUUAGAACCCAAAGUCUGCUGUUAUAGGGCUUCCAAGGUGGCAGUGAUGCUAGUGGUAAAGAACCCACCUGCCAGUGCAGGAGAUGCAAGAGACAUGGGUUCGAUCCCUGGGUCAGGAAGAUCCCCUGGAGAAGAGCAUGACAACCUACUACAGUAUUCUUGCCUGGAGAAUCCCAUGGACAGAGGAACCUGGCGGGCUACAGUCCAUGGAGUCACAAGGAGUUGGACACGACUGAAGCGACUUAGCAUGUAGCACAUAGGGCAUUAUGGAUCAUAGUUGGUAGAGCAUCCAAAUUAUGUUUUCUUCUUUUAAAAGUAACUGAGUUUUGUUCUGGCAAGCAGAUACAUUACUAGUAGAUCCAUUUUAUCCUGCCAGGCUUAGAGUUAUUCUUUCUUAGAGAAUGUCAGUCUAUUUUUGUAUUUAACAAUAACUUGUGCUUCUUAACUCAUCAUAUUUUUUCCUUUGUAUGGCUUUUCUGCAUUCCAACUGAAUAACCAAGGUUUAGGAGUUUCUCUCUAUUCCAGUUAGGUUAAUUCCUAACUGGUAGUUCUAAGUAAAUUCUUGUGUUUAUAUCUGUGUCACAGGCUCAGACUACAGUGAAUGACCACACAGACUGCUGGUAUCCAUUACUCUUCACAACUCCCAUAUCUCUUAAUGUCCUGGUUGUAAAUUUCAGCUGAUAUGAGAUACUUAAGUUCUGCUCUCUGUUUUUCUGCCUUAAAUUUAGUUCCUUUGUCUUAGCUAUACUACCAGUGUUUCAGAGUAUUGUUUGGCUCAAAAUCUUUAGGAUGUGUGAAAAGAAGUACCAGUGUUCAUUGGUAAGAGCACUAUGCUGAAAAAAGUCUUAUGUGUCUCAGAACCACUUCCAUCACUGUAUCCUCCCAUUUACCCCCCAGAUUCUGACUCUGUCUCCUGUUGCCCUAGCAAGCAUUCCAAGGGCAUUUGCACAUGGUAGUAAUU